UAGCCUUUGAAGAUUUCCCCCCAAAGUGGAAGAGAGAGAAGCAACAAUGUUGGAACCAUGCCGUUCGAAAUCACACUGGCAGGUGGAAGAGAGACAAGCAAUGCCUAAAUAAUGGAUUCUUUACUUGGAAUGAGCCAACUAUUCAAGUCAGAAU